UACGUGGGGACCGAGCGUUGUCCGGAAUCAUUGGGCGUAAAGAGCGUGUAGGCGGCCAAUUAAGUCCUGCGUGAAAUCUCGGGGCUCAACCCCGAGCGGUCGUGGGAAACUGGUUGGCUAGAGUGCGGGAGAGGAGAGUGGAAUUCCUGGUGUAGCGGUGAAAUGCGCAGAUAUCAGGAAGAACACCCGUGGCGAAGGCGGCUCUCUGGAACGCAACUGACGCUGAGACGCGAAAGCGUGGGGAGCAAACAGG
rnacentral:rRNA from 1 species